rnacentral:rRNA from 1 species
AAUGAACGCUGGCGGCAGGCCUAACACAUGCAAGUCGAACGGAUCCUUCGGGAUUAGUGGCGGACGGGUGGGUAACGCGUGGGAACAUACCCUUUGGUACGGAAUAGCCUCGGGAAACUGGGAGUAAUACCGUAUGUGGUCGAGAGACGAAAGAUUUACCGCCAAAGGAUUGGCCCGCGUUGGAUUAGGUAGUUGGUGGGGUAAUGGCCUACCAAGCCGACGAUCCAUAGCUGGUUUGAGAGGAUGAUCAGCCACACUGGGACUGAGACACGGCCCAGACUCCUACGGGAGGCAGCAGUGGGGAAUCUUAGACAAUGGGGGAAACCCUGAUCUAGCCAUGCCGCGUGAUCGAUGAAGGCCUUAGGGUUGUAAAGAUCUUUCAGGUGGGAAGAUAAUGACUGUACCACCAGAAGAAGCCCCGGCUAACUCCGUGCCAGCCGCCGCGGUAAAAC